rnacentral:rRNA from 1 species
CCCGCUGAACUUAAGCAUAUCAAUAAGCGGAGGAAAAGAAACUAACAAGGAUUCCCCUAGUAACUGCGAGUGAAGCGGGAAGAGCUCAAAUUUAAAAUCUGGCAGUCCUCUGGCUGUCCGAGUUGUAAUCUGGAGAAGCGUUUUCCGCGUCGGACCGUGUACAAGUCUUCUGGAACGGAGCGUCAUAGAGGGUGAGAAUCCCGUCUCUGACACGGACCGCCGACGCUUCAUGUGAUACGCUCUCGAAGAGUCGAGUUGUUUGGGAAUGCAGCUCAAAAUGGGUGGUAAAUUCCAUCUAAAGCUAAAUACUGGCGAGAGACCGAUAGCGAACAAGUACCGUGAGGGAAAGAUGAAAAGCACUUUGGAAAGAGAGUUAAACAGUACGUGAAAUUGUUGA